GAUGCAUGCAAAUAGAUGGGUCAAUCCCCUUCAGAUCAGUUACAGACCAUCCAAUUGCAUGUUUGUGUUUUCCGAGCACACUUAAAAGUUGACUCUCCUGUUUGUCAGACAGGUCAGCCGCGAUGAUUACAGAUAGGGUAUCUUCGGAUCCUAGAAAAGCAUACUUAAGGGUUACCGGAAGUGGAUUUAACUAAAGUUUGGGCGGAGACUCGAUGGAGGGACACUGUGGCGUACUAGAAAGGGUAGGAAGAGGUUCAUAUCGGAUACGCCAAGGAUGAGAAUUUGUGGGAGAUGGAUUGUCAAGUAGGACAUUGACUUCUUCUAUGGCCUUAUCUAGAUCAAAGUUAUCAAUGUCAAAAUGAGCUAAAUAUGUUU
rnacentral:lncRNA from 1 species